rnacentral:lncRNA from 1 species
UAGAUUUUUGCGCAAAUAUUUUUUGGGUUUUUUCUUGGUAAGUUGAAUAUCUUUGUCUCGAGCGCCGGCACGCAGAUACCCCCCAUCCGAACCAAACGACAAGAGCGCCAUGUUUAAGUUUUGACUGUUCCCGUGCAAAGUGAGAGCCAAUACAUCACAUGAAGGUCGCCAAGUGCAUGCUUUGGAAAGAAAAUGUUGGUAGUACGUCCGGACCUACCAACUUCAUCUUGACUAGAGUUCAUUUCCCAAAAUUAUAAAUUUAGCUCAUCCCCACAUUUAAAUUAAAGCCCACUGUAUUUUCUUCUAUAAUUUUUUUAUCAUUGUUUAUUACUUUU